rnacentral:lncRNA from 10 species
GGCCAUUCCAAGUGCGGGCCCGCAGAUACCACACCCACCCGGAAGUCCUCCUGGCCCACAAGCUCCGCGGCGCAGCCCGGGUUCCCGCCCACGUCUCUCCUUCCGGGGCUCUCACUCCAUACCUCCCCACAAGCUGAGGGAGCCGGCUCCGGCCUCAGCCAGCCCAGAAAGGGGCUCCCACAGUGCAGCGGGCUGAAGGGCUCCUCAAUAGCGACCAGAGUGGGCACCAAGGCCGAGGAGGCACCAAAAGCGAGUGAGGGCUGCGAGGGCUGCGAGGGCUGCCAGCACAUUGUCGCCUCUCAGUAGGGUCUUUGAGAGACAAGGUAUUUCACUGUAACAGACAUCAGACUAAAAGAUAAAACCCUGACACUUUGGACAUUUCAAAAGUUAAAAUAAUUGUAUACCCUUCAAUUAUUGGAACCAUUUCAAUCAAUGCCCUAUACUAUGCCAAAUGACAGGAUCUUGCUAUGAUUCCCAGGCUGAUCACAAACUCCUGACCUCAAGCAACCCUUUCACCUCAGCAUCCCAAAGUGCUGGGAUUACAGGAUGAUCCACUAUGUCUGGCCCAUAAAUAGUCUUCUUUAAGUACAUCUCAUGGGGGAAUCUAAGGAAGAAGCAAGUUAUGGAGAAACAGGCUUCAGAAACUGUAGUUUCAGACUUAUCUUCUGCAAUGGAGAAGAAAAUGAAGAUAGGAGCCGUGUUGACAUCACGUUGAAAAUAAACAUCUGGCACACUAUUCUACUUCUGAAAAUCCUGCUGUUUGAGCAUGAUAAGGACAGACUACUCUAACUUCAGAAGAAUCAU